AAAUCAAUACAAUAUGAGGAGCAGCUUUUUUUAUUUCAAAUUAAAAAUACAUAAUAACAAUAACCAAUUUUACUAUUAGGACAUAGAUACUCUUCCCUGUUCAUCAAUGCAUCAUUAGGAAAGGACUACAGUAAUAAAAAAAUAAUGUCAAAUUUGAAUUUUUAGUACUUUAAGAGCUUGAGGUGUGAUUCAGGGCUACAUUUUAUAAUGCAAAUAUUUUCUUUCACAUCCAAUGAUCUAGACUGCGAAAACAAAAGGAGCCGUGAAAUGGGGAUCGCUUUUGAGUUGUUUCCAUGUGUUAGUUCCAUCGUACCAAAGUCAUCCCACAGUAUCUCUUGCAGGGUUGGACUUCUUUUGAGCAGCAAUAUUGGACGGCUACUGACAAUGAUAAAAGAUAGAUAAGUAAUCAUGGAUAAAAGAAAAUGGAAUUUAUAAAUUGUUCUGAAACAUGAAUACUUACUUGCAUUGAUCAUUUCAAGCUGAGGACACCUUAGCUUGGUUUUCAUCUUAGCAUGACUUGAAACUGAAAAUAAAUUAAAUGCUUUCAAGAUUUAAAGGGAGUGAAGUAAAGAUAUGUUGAUCACUAUGUUUAAGCACCCUCAUUCACUAAAGCCUAAAAUAAGUUUAAUAGACCUUUGGCAUCUAAGAAAGAAGAUCUAAUCAGAUUUUGAACAAAUCUUAUAUAGCAUGACUACUUUCAAACUUGAAAACAUCAUUAUUAGAAUAUAUGGAGUAAUACAAUGGUAUAUUUAUUAAAAUAUACAAUUUUAAUCAGUGGAACGCUUAUAUGUUGUUAUUAUCUUCCUUUUAUAUCUCAAUGUUUCAUCGUACUAAUGGACAUUAAUUAGAUAACUAUGAAAUAUUAAGUUUGGUUCAUUUCCGUGUGAUUCACAGACGAGCGAUUCUACGUUUUAUGGUUUUUAAUUUUAUAAUUUAACAAAAUAAACUAAUUAAUUUACAUACGAGCAAUUUAUAAUCUACACAAUUAUCUAAAAUGAACAAAUUUUAUUAUUAACUUUGUCAAUAAAUAGGUGAUAAUAAACUGAUUAUUAUUUAUUAACACUUUAGCGUAUAUGAAACGGGUGGAGUUAUUACACUUGACAUGUUUAUUAUGAGAAUUUUUUCACCAUUUGAUCUAUUAUGAAUUCAAUUUUGUAUGUGAGUGAUUCCCUAGUCUUUUUAUAAAAAGAAAAAACAUGUCAAGUGUUCUUGCAUUUCAUCUAAAAUACUGUAGGUAACAUUGUCCUAAUGUAUUUUAAUCUAAAGGUAGAAUAUUUUUAUUGUUUAAUGUAUUUAAUGUAAAAAAUCAAGUGAGUUUAAUAUUGAAAUCAAUACAAUAUGAGGAGCAGCUUUUUUUAUUUCAAAUUAAAAAUACAUAAUAACAAUAACCAAUUUUACUAUUAGGACAUAGAUACUCUUCCCUGUUCAUCAAUGCAUCAUUAGGAAAGGACUACAGUAAUAAAAAAAUAAUGUCAAAUUUGAAUUUUUAGUACUUUAAGAGCUUGAGGUGUGAUUCAGGGCUACAUUUUAUAAUGCAAAUAUUUUCUUUCACAUCCAAUGAUCUAGACUGCGAAAACAAAAGGAGCCGUGAAAUGGGGAUCGCUUUUGAGUUGUUUCCAUGUGUUAGUUCCAUCGUACCAAAGUCAUCCCACAGUAUCUCUUGCAGGGU
rnacentral:lncRNA from 1 species